rnacentral:tRNA from 1 species
GAGAGAUGGCUGAGCGGCCUAAGGCACCUGACUCGAAAUCAGGCGAUCGUGUUGAGCGGUCCGUGGGUUCAAAUCCCACUCUCUCC